CCUACGGGAGGCAGCAGUGGGGAAUAUUGCACAAUGGGGGGAACCCUGAUGCAGCGACGCCGCGUGAGUGAAGAAGUAUUUCGGUAUGUAAAGCUCUAUCAGCAGGGAAGAAAAUGACGGUACCUGACUAAGAAGCCCCGGCGAACGACGAGCCAGCAGCCGCGGUAAUACGUAGGGGGCCAGCGUUAUCCGGAUUUACUGGGGGGAAAGGGAGCGGAGACGGCUGUGCAAGUCUGGAGUGAAAGGCGGGGGCGCAACCUCAGAACUGCUCUGGAUACUGUAAAGCGGGAGUGCAGGAGAGGUAAGCGGAAUUCGUAGUGUAGCGGUGAAAUGCGUAGAUAUUAGGAGGAACACCAGUGGCGAAGGCGGCUUACUGGACUGCAACUGACGUUGAGGCUCGAAAGCGUGGGGAGCAAACAGGAUUAGAUACCCUUGUAGUC
rnacentral:rRNA from 1 species